rnacentral:rRNA from 1 species
AAACUACGAUUAGAUACCCUAUUAUUCUAAGUGUUAAGUAGAAAGCCAGAGUAGUAAUAGUUAUGUUCUUGAAACUCAAAGAAUUUGGCGGUGUUUUAAUCCGGCCAGAGGAGCCUGUCCCGUAAUCGAUAAUCCACGUUUAUUUAACUUAAUUUAGUAUUCAGCUUGUAUACCGCCGUCAGAAGGGUGAUUCAAGAGAAUACCCCCUAGAGUUUCAUUGAAAAAUAUGUCAGGUCAAGGUGCAGUUUAUGGUUAAGGGGAGAUGGGCUACAAUAAUAGUAAUUANACGAACAUUGACUUGUAAAAGUUGAUAGAAGGUGGAUUUGGGUGUAAUAAGAUGAAGAAUAAUUUUAUGAUAUCGGCUCUAAAACAAGCACA